CCUACGGGAGGCAGCAGUGAGGAAUAUUGGUCAAUGGUCGUAAGACUGAACCAGCCAAGCCGCGUGAAGGAUGACGGUCCUAAGCAUUGUAAACUCCUUUUGUCAGGGGACAAAAUGCGUCACGAGAGCAGUUCUGAGGGUACCCCAUGAAUAAGCACCGGCUAAUUCCGUGCCAGCAGCCGCGGUAAUACGGCGGAGGCGAGCGUUAUCCGGAUUUAUUGGGUGUAAAGGGAGCGUAGGUGGACUCAUAAGUCAGUUGUGAAAGUACAGGGCUCAACCGUGGAAUUGCAGGUGAAACUGGGUGUCUUGAGUGCAGGAGAGGUAAGCGGAAUGCGUAGUGUAGCGGUGAAAUGCUUAGAUAUUACGAAGAACUCCGAUUGCGAAGGCAGCUUACUGGACUGUAACUGACGCUGAGGCACGAAAGCGUGGGUAUCAAACAGGAUUAGAUACCCUAGUAGUC
rnacentral:rRNA from 1 species